rnacentral:rRNA from 1 species
UACGGACGGGGCAAGCGUUGUUCGGAAUCAUUGGGCGUAAAGGGCGCGUAGGUGGUUCUGUAUGUCUACCGUGAAAGCGUACGGCUCAACCGUAUUUUGUCGGUAGAAACUGCAGGACUUGAGGCUGGGAGGGGCUGGUGGAAUUCCCUGUGUAGCGGUGAAAUGCGUAGAGAUGGGGGAGAACACUCGUGGCGAAGGCGGCCAGCUAGACCAGUUCUGACACUGAGGCGCGACAGCGUGGGGAGCAAACAGG